rnacentral:lncRNA from 1 species
CUAAUUCCAGUCCGCCGUGAAGUUUACGGGGACGGCCGUAUUUUCGAUAUUACUCACCGAUUAAGCCCUGAUAUGCCGUCGUGGGGAUUAGAAGACGGGCUUGGCCAAUUCCUGUGGCUUCCAAAUAGCAUGAAGUAUGGUUCUCUUGCUAAUAACUCCGAGAUGAAACUUGCGACUCACACUGGCACUGAUAUUGAUGCUCCUGGUCAUGUCUACGAGCCAAAUAGCAUGAAGAAUGGUUCUCUUGCUAAUAACUCCGAGAUGAAACUUCCGACUCACACCGGCACUCAUAUUGAUGCUCCUGGUCAUGUCUACGAUCAUUAUUUCGAUGCCGGCUUUGAUAUCGACACUCUUGA